rnacentral:tRNA from 1 species
GUCCCUGUAGCUUACAACAAAGCAUGACACUGAAGAUGUCAAGAUGGCUGUUAAAUAUACACCCAAGGACA